rnacentral:tRNA from 2 species
GGGCCGUUAGCUCAGUCGGUAGAGCAGCGGACUUUUAAUCCGUUGGUCGACAGUUCGAAUCUGUCACGGCCCACCA